rnacentral:rRNA from 1 species
UGGGGAAUUUUGGACAAUGGGCGAAAGCCUGAUCCAGCAAUGCCGCGUGUGUGAAGAAGGCCUUCGGGUUGUAAAGCACUUUUGUCCGGAAAGAAAUCCUUGGCUCUAAUACAGUCGGGGGAUGACGGUACCGGAAGAAUAAGCACCGGCUAACUACGUGCCAGCAGCCGCGGUAAUACGUAGGGUGCAAGCGUUAAUCGGAAUUACUGGGCGUAAAGCGUGCGCAGGCGGUUUGCUAAGACCGAUGUGAAAUCCCCGGGCUCAACCUGGGAACUGCAUUGGUGACUGGGCAGGCUAGAGUAUGGCAGAGGGGGGUAGAAUUCCACGUGUAGCAGUGAAAUGCGUAGAGAUGUGGAGGAAUACGAUGGCGAAGGCAGCCCCCUGGGCCAAUACUGACGCUCAUGCACGAAAGCGUGGGGAGCAAACAGGAUUAGAUACCCUGGUAGU